CAAAGGCUUGGUCCUGACUUUACUAUCAACUUUAGCCAAACUUACACAUGCAAGUAUCCGCACCCCCGUGAGAAUGCCCCACAGUUCCCUGCCCGGGAACAAGGAGCUGGUAUCAGGCACAUUUAACUAUAAGCCCACGACACCUUGCUUAGCCACACCCUCAAGGGAACUCAGCAGUGAUAAACAUUAAGCCAUAAGUGAAAACUUGACUUAGUCAAGGCUAAGAGGGCCGGUAAAACUCNGNCCAGCCACNNNNCUCCUUGUUCCCGGGCAGGGAACUGGGGGGGCAUUCUCACGGGGGUGCGGAUACUUGCAUGUGUAAGUUUGGCUAAAGUUGAUAGUAAAGUCAGGACCAAGCCUUUGUGCUUACGGAACUUUCUAGGGCUCAUCUUAACAUCUUCAGUGUUAUGCUUUAAUUAAGCUACNUUAGCUUCNUGCAUUAUUUUAAUAAUGUAAAUAGACACAUUUUGGGCUCAAAAACGUACUAUCAGAGGUUUUCCUGUUUUC
rnacentral:rRNA from 1 species